rnacentral:rRNA from 1 species
GAUGAACGCUGGCGGCGUGCCUAAUACAUGCAAGUCGAGCGAACAGACGAGGAGCUUGCUCCUCUGACGUUAGCGGCGGACGGGUGAGUAACACGUGGAUAACCUACCUAUAAGACUGGGAUAACUUCGGGAAGCCGGAGCUAAUACCGGAUAAUAUAUUGAACCGCAUGGUGCAAUAGUGUAAGACGGUUUUGCUGUCACUUAUAGAUGGUUCCGCGCCGCAUUAGCUAGUUGGUAAGGUAACGGCUUACCACGGCGACGAUGCGUAGCCGACCAGGGAGAGGGUCCGGCGACACUGGAACAGGAUGACCGGCCAGACUCCUACGGGGAGCAGGAGUAGGGAACCACGCGCGACAGGCGUAAGCAUGUCGGAGCAACGCGGGAUGGGUGAACAAAGUCAUGCGGUCGUAAAGCUCAGUUCUUAGGGAACAACAACUGUGUAAGUCACAAUAGAAGUAAUGACGGUAUCUAGUCAGAAAGCCACGGCUAACUACGUG